rnacentral:rRNA from 1 species
GAUGAACGCUAGCGGGAGGCUUAAUACAUGCAAGUCUAGCAAUAGAUGGCUAUGAGACCGGCAAACGGGUGCGGAACACGUACGCAACCUUCCCAAAACUGGUGAAUAGCCCUCCGAAAGGAGGAUUAAUACACCGUAACUUAAUGAGGUGGCAUCACUUUAUUAAUAUAGCUCCGGCGGUUUUGGAUGGGCGUGCGCCUGAUUAGGUAGUUGGCGGGGUAACGGCCCACCAAGCCUACGAUCAGUAACUGGUGUGAGAGCACGACCAGUCACACGGGCACUGAGACACGGGCCCGACUCCUACGGGAGGCAGCAGUAAGGAAUAUUGGUCAAUGGACGCAAGUCUGAACCAGCCAUGCCGCGUGAAGGAUGACGGCCCUCUGGGUUGUAAACUUCUUUUAUCUGGGACGAAAAAGGUCAUUCUUGAUCACUUGACGGUACCAGAGGAAUAAGCACCGGCUAACUCCGUG